rnacentral:rRNA from 1 species
UAACCUGCCCAAGAGAUCGGGAUAACACCUGGAAACAGAUGCUAAUACCGGAUAACAACAGAUGAUGCCUAUCAACUGUUUAAAAGAUGGUUCUGCUAUCACUCUUGGAUGGACCUGCGGUGCAUUAGCUAGUUGGUAGGGUAACGGCCUACCAAGGCGAUGAUGCAUAGCCGAGUUGAGAGACUGAUCCGGCCACAGUUGGGACUGAGACACCGGACCCAAACUCCGUACGGGAGGCAGCAGGC